ACUCAAAGGAAUUGACGGGGGCCCGCACAAGCGGUGGAGCAUGUGGUUUAAUUCGAUGCAACGCGCAGAACCUUACCAGCCCUUGACAUGGGGAGUUUGGUCCGUGGAGACGCGGAUCUUCAGUUCGGCUGGCUCCCACACAGGUGCUGCAUGGCUGUCGUCAGCUCGUGUCGUGAGAUGUUGGGUUAAGUCCCGCAACGAGCGCAACCCUCGCCCUUAGUUGCCAGCGGUCCGGCCGGGCACUCUAGGGGAACUGCCGGUGACAAGCCGGAGGAAGGCGGGGAUGACGUCAAGUCCUCAUGGCCCUUAUGGGCUGGGCUACACACGUGCUACAAUGGCGGUGACAAUGGGCAGCGAUCCAGCAAUGGUGAGCUAAUCUCCAAAAGCCGUCUCAGUUCGGAUUGUCCUCUGCAACUCGAGGGCAUGAAGGUGGAAUCGCUAGUAAUCGUGGAUCAGCAUGCCACGGUGAAUACGUUCCCGGGCCUUGUACACACCGCCCGU
rnacentral:rRNA from 1 species